rnacentral:rRNA from 1 species
CGUAGGUGACAAGCGUUGUCCGGAUUUACUGGGCGUAAAGAGCGCGCAGGCGGUCGUUCAAGUCGAGUGUGAAAGCCCCCGGCUCAACUGGGGAGGGUCACUCGAUACUGAUCGACUCGAAGGCAGGAGAGGGAAGUGGAAUUCCCGGUGUAGUGGUGAAAUGCGUAGAUAUCGGGAGGAACACCAGUGGCGAAGGCGACUUCCUGGCCUGUUCUUGACGCUGAGGCGCGAAAGCUAGGGGAGCAAACGGGAUUAGAUACCCCGGUAGUCCUAGCCGUAAACGAUGGACACUAGGUGUUGGUGGUAUCAACCCCGCCAGUGCCGAAGCUAACGCAUUAAGUGUCCCGCCUGGGGAGUACGGCCGCAAGGCUA